rnacentral:misc_RNA from 1 species
UUCUUUCACUAACCUCACUUGUCAUUUGCUAUGUUUACUAUAGUGCUUAAAUGGCGUACACUAUUAAAUUAAUUCAAUAAUACUUUUAUACAAUCGAUUACUUCGUAGCAUUAAAUUGUGUUAAUUUAAAGAAAUCAACGAAGGAUAAUAAUGAGAAAAAUAAAGACGAAUAUAUAUAAUCAACGAUAGCAUCUUCGAUAAUUAAGAACACGAAUUGACAACUUUCAUAAUUUGGAAAAAUAGUUAUGAAAUAUGUCUUAACAAAAUAUCACGUGAUCAUUAUCAACUCAAUACAUCGUCAAAAGAUGGAAGCACUAAAGAGGCAAAGUUGGCAUAUAGGAAAAGGAAACAGAUCUCUAGGGUAAAGUCGUGUGAGUUGGUGUUGUCGCUUUUAAUUCACAACUAUUCAUAUUAUGUGAAACUGCAAAAGUAAAUAUGGAUUCUUCAACUAAAUUGAAUGAUGAUAUUAAAUUAAUAGAAGGAAAAACCCAAUGUUCAGUUUCAAAUGAAUCAAAAAAUGAUUCUUCAUUAGAAAAUACUCAUAAAGUUGACAUUACAAAUACUACUCAGAAAGAAAAACAAGAUGUAGAUAAAGUCAAUACUAUUAAAGAUGCAGAAAAUGAAAUUAAUGCAGAAAACAUUACUGCAAAUACAAGUUGUGUUAAGACAGAAAAUGAAAGUGAUUCAGAAGAUAUCAUUGAAUCGAGUAUUAAUGUGCAAAAUAAUAUCCAAAUAAAAGAAGCAAGAAAGGAAGAGAAAAAUGAAAAUUUAACAGAAAAUACGUCAUCAAAUGCAAAUACUGCGAAAGAGAGUGGUGAAGAAGAUACUACAGAAGAUAUAACAGAUGAAAAGAGUAUUUAUAAUAUCAAAAGAAAGCGUGGAAAUUUAAGUACACAAGAAAGUGCUUCGUCUUCUGAAGAGAAUGGAGUUAGAAAUAAACGAAAAAAAUUUAAAAAUACAAAUGAUAAAUUUUGUUGGAGGUGCCACAAAGAAUCAACAGAAGCACUCUGUAGUGCCUGUCCGCGAUCAUGGCAUCGUAGAUGUUUAGGUGGUACGCCACCGACUUCUGUUCAUAACUGGAUUUGUGGCGAAUGUGCUACAAUAUUGAAAGCAGAAAAUGCAGAAACACGUUCUGCGGCAAUGGCACAGUUAUCAGUUGAUCAAUUGUGUAUGUUGCUUAAACAUGUAGUUCAAAAAAUGCGUGAAUAUUCUGGCUCUGAACCAUUUUGGAAACCUGUAGAAAUCAAUGAAACUCCAAAUUAUUUGGAUUAUGUUUUUAAACCAAUGGAUUUAAAUCUUUUAGAAUCUAAUGUACGUUCAAAACUUUAUGGAAGUACUGAUGCAUUUAUGUCUGAUGCAAAAUGGAUACAGCAUAAUUGUAUUGUCUAUAAUACAUGCGGUGGACUUUAUGCUGAUACAUCUAAAUUAACCAAUAUUGCAAAACAAAUAAUUAAAUUGGCACGCCAUGAGGUAGCAGAAAUUGAGGCUUGUCCAGAUUGUUAUGCACAUUCGCGUAACUUACCUAGGCCACAACCAUCAUGGUUUAUUGAACCUUGCCGUCAACCACAUCCUCUUGUAUGGGCUAAAUUAAAAGGUUUCCCUUUCUGGCCUGCUAAAGCUAUGCCACGGUUAAAUGCAAAAGGUUCUGUAGAUGUUCGUUUUUUUGGUGAACAUGAUCGAGCAUGGAUACAACCUCGAGAUCUUUUUUUAUAUUCUGAAGAUCCACCUGCUCCAUUGCCUCGCAAAAGAAAAGUAGAUAUGGAUGAAUGCGUUAGAGAAAUUACCCGGCAUUGUCGAAAACUAGAACUUGUAUUUGGUAAAUUUAAAUUUGCACCUCCAAAAAUACAAUACAAUCCGCACGAUCCAAUGCAAAUCAAACUUAUGCUACCAAAUUAUGAUCCUCUUCAACCAAAUAAUUGUACAUCUUCAGAAUUUUUGGUACCUAAAAAGAAGGCUGCUUUUCGAAAACGUAAUCUUUCUAUCAAGGAUAAAUCACAAACUGAGGCUUCUGCUAAUGAUAGUAAACUUGAUUCUGAUACAACUGCUUCUGAUGAUGAAAAUAAAUCCCGAAAUAAAAUACAAAAAUUAACCAGAUCCAAUCAAUCUUCACCAAGUUCAGACAACAGUAUUAAUUUAGAUAUACCACAAAGUGAAUUGCAAAAAAAAGUGAUUAACAUAGAAAACAAGACAUCUAUAGAAGAUGUUUCAUUAGCAGAAGAUAAUGAACUUAUUAAAUCAGAUCGAAAGAACAUUGAAGAAAAUAAUACAAAUACACGUGUACAAAGAUCUAAUGAAUCUAAUGUACCUUUAUUGAGAAAUAACUUACAUAUUACACAUGAUAGUUUAACAUCUACCGAUCAAAUUUUAAAACCAAGUGAAUCACCAAAACUGGAACAGGUAUCAAAGAAACAUUCCACUGUGAAAACUACUAACAGCAAAAGUAAUACAUCUGAAAUUUUAAAAGUAGCGUCAAAGCCCACUAAAAAUACGGCUAAAGUUUAUAAACCAAAAACGAGGUUGGUUGAUAAAUUAAAUGCAGAAAAAGCUUUAAAAUUUUUAUCCGAAAAUGAACAAAAAAAUAAAAUGGGAUCGCCGAGCAUAGAAUCAAUCGUUCAAGUUACUCGAUCUUUAUCACAAACUGAUAAACAUGAUCUGUUGAAUAAAACAACAAAUGGAACUGUCACUUCAUCCGUUUCUACAUUUACUACCAUAACACAAAAUAACACUAGAUCUUCUGUAUCAAAUUCAACAAUAGGUCAAACAACACCUGCAACGUGUAACAAAUCAACAGAUAUAGUACAACAGUCUAUAUUAACAGAGGAUAAUUUAACAAAUAAAGAAAGUUACAUGAUUACGAAACCAGUUUCAAAAGAACAAAAAAGAGAGAGCAAAGCAAGAAAAUCUUUUCCUAAUAAACCACCUAUUUAUCCACAAAUAACACUUCAUUCAUCAUCAAAUACAUUACCUAGUUCAAUAGAAUCGAUAAUCUAUAAUCCAACUCCACAAAAAGAAAAUGUUAUUGAAUAUCAAUUACUUCCUCCUGAAGCUGGGCCUCUUAGUGCUCGUUUAUAUCAUGGUGCUGAAGAGUUAGCAAAAAGAAUGGCUCAAUUAAUGGAGGAAGCAUAUCAAGAAGCUGCUCACAACAGUCAAAACUCUGAAGAUGAUACUACUGAUAAGCAUCAUGCUACAGUACAUUUUUUACGAUUACAGAUUGAACGAAUGAGGUGGCAACAUCAACAACAAUUGGCAGAACUAAAACAUAAUACUGAUCGUAUGUUACGAGAAAUGAAAGCAGGCCUAGAAGCAGAACAACUUCGAGCUGUUGAAGAAACUCGACGAGAAAUGGAACAAGAAAAAAUAAGAUGUAUCGAGGAGACAAAACGUAAACAAUGGUGUGCUAUGUGUCAUCGUGAAGCAUUAUUUUAUUGUUGCUGGAAUACAGCUUAUUGUGAUUACGCAUGUCAACAAUCUCAUUGGACAACCCAUAUGAGAACGUGUGCCCAAAAACCUUCUUUUACUACAAUUGUUACAACUUCGUCUGUAGGAUCAAGUCAACAACAGGUGAUGCCCAAGCUUAUGAUAAAUGUGCAACAUGCAUCAUAAAACGUAAAGAGGGCAUAGAGUCAUUGGUUAACAGAUUUCUAUUCAUAUAUUUCAACACUGGCUUAACGCGUAUCAAUAUGAUAAAAUGGAAUUAUUAAUGUAGACAACAUACUUAAUAAUUCAAAGAAGAGAAAAAAAAAUAAAGUGUAUUUUUUACCAAGAGUAAUAAUACGAAAGUAUGUACUCCUGCGUGCAGAGUUUAUUCUUUACCGCGUAAUAAAUCACCUGGAUUAUCAAAAUCUCAUUAUGUUUCGUGUUCUAAAAAUGAAAAUAAUUAAGGUCUUUUAUUAAUAGAUAUUAGGUUAAAACUAUUUGCAAUCAAUAAUAUAGUUCACUACACAUUGUGUAAGUUGAUUUUAAAUAAUUUUGUCUACAUACAUCUUGUCAAUUAUGUAUUGAUAUUAGCAAUUAAAAUAGGAUAAUUGCAGACGUUAAAUAUUUUAUUGUAUAUUCAUGAUGCAUUCAGU